UACGUAGGGUGCGAGCGUUGUCCGGAAUUAUUGGGCGUAAAGAGCUCGUAGGCGGUCUGUCGCGUCGGCUGUGAAAACCCGGAGCUCAACUCCGGGCCUGCAGUCGAUACGGGCAGACUGGAGUUCGGCAGGGGAGACUGGAAUUCCUGGUGUAGCGGUGAAAUGCGCAGAUAUCAGGAGGAACACCGGUGGCGAAGGCGGGUCUCUGGGCCGAUACUGACGCUGAGGAGCGAAAGCGUGGGGAGCAAACAGG
rnacentral:rRNA from 1 species